UACGGGGGGGUAAGCGUUGUUCGGAAUUACUGGGCGUAAAGGGCUCGUAGGUGGCCAACUAAGUCAGACGUGAAAUCCCUCGGCUUAACCGGGGAACUGCGUCUGAUACUGGAUGGCUUGAGUUCGGGAGAGGGAUGCGGAAUUCCAGGUGUAGCGGUGAAUGCGUAGAUAUCUGGAGGAACACCGGUGGCGAAGGCGGCAUCCUGGACCGACACUGACGCUGAGGAGCGAAGCCAGGGAGCAAACGGG
rnacentral:rRNA from 1 species